AAUACGUCAGUGGCAGACGGGUGAGUAACGCGUGGGAACGUACCUUUCAGUUCGGAACAACCAAGGGAAACUUUGGCUAAUACCGGAUACGCCCUUACGGGGAAAGAUUUAUCGCCGAAAGAUCGGCCCGCGUCUGAUUAGCUAGUUGGUGAGGUAAUGGCUCACCAAGGCGACGAUCAGUAGCUGGUCUGAGAGGAUGAUCAGCCACAUUGGGACUGAGACACGGCCCAA
rnacentral:rRNA from 1 species